rnacentral:misc_RNA from 1 species
UUUAUGGUGUAAUCGAUUUUUAGAAGCCUUUUUUUAAAGGAAUUUGUUUCUAAGGAAGAUAUUUUCCUUUUCCUUUUCUGUGUUUUAUCAUGAAUUUGUU